rnacentral:tRNA from 1 species
CAGGGAGACAACAAAAUGUUUAAUAUUAUUAUUUUGUCACCUUAGGUCGAUCGGUAUCUCACGUUCUUAAUUUGUUAAGAAUUUCAUUUCCUAAGUUUUUCUAGGUCACACCCAUUAUUUUUCCUGGGCCAUUAGCUCAGGUGGUUAGAGCGCACCCCUGAUAAGGGUGAGGUCCCUGGUUCAAGUCCAGGAUGGCCCAUUUCUCUAUGUUGGGGGUAUAGCUCAGUUGGUAGAGCGCCUGCUUUGCAAGCAGGAUGUCAGCGGUUCGAGUCCGCUUACCUCCACUGAUUACCACCUCUUCCAUAACUGGUAGAAAGGAAAUGUUUUGAGUUGUGAUUAUUAUUCUGAACGAAUCUAGCUUCCUAAUGAAAUCAUUAAGAUGCUGGACUCAUUGAAUUAAUUUCAUUGUUUUCAGAGAACCUUGACAACUGCAUAGAUUUUUUUAAAGACAAUAAGCAUCUUUAAUGAUGCAGAUUUAUUAUUUGUGCGAAUGCAUUAAUAACAAUUCUAUUAAGCUGAUGCUUCAAUUUUUGAAGUUAUU